GACGAACGCUGGCGGCGUGCCUAAUACAUGCAAGUAGAACGCUGAAGAGAGGAGCUUGCUCUUCUUGGUUGAGUUGCGGACGGGUGAGUAACGCGUAGGUAACCUGACUGGUAGCGGGGGAUAACAAUUGGAAACGAUAGCUAAUACCGCAUAAAAUGGAUUAUCGCAUGAUAAUCCAUUGAAAGGUGCAAAUGCAUCACUACCAGACGGACCUGCGUUGUAUUAGCUAGUUGGUGGGGUAGCGGCUAACCAAAGCGACGUUCCAUAGCCGACCUGAGAGGGUGAUCGGCCACGCUGGGACUGAGAGACGACCCACACCCCUGCGAGUGGCACCCGUAGCGGAUCCUCGCGAAUGGACGGAAGUCUGAACAUUGGACGCCGCGUGAGUGCCGAAUCCUUUCGGGUCGUGAAGGUCUUUUAUGAGUUAAGAUCGUGUAGGACUGUUGCACGGGCACAUUGUGACGGUACCUGACGAAUAAGCGACGGCUAACUCCGUG
rnacentral:rRNA from 1 species